GAAUUUAAUAUAAUAAUUUAUUAAUAUAGGUGUGGUGAUAAUUUAAUUAGAAUAAAAUAAGUUAAUUAUAUUUAAUUGGGAGGAUUAUUAAAUUUAUUUAACUUUAAUAAAAUAUAUGUAAAAUUUAAUAAUAUAAAUUAGUAAAUUUUAUGAAUAAUAGGUAUAUAUUAAUGUAAAAUUAAUUACCUUAGGGAUAACAGCGUAAUAGUUUUGGAAAGAUCAUAUUAAUAAAAUUGAUUGC
rnacentral:rRNA from 1 species